rnacentral:rRNA from 1 species
AGUAACACGUGGAUAACCUACCUAUAAGACUGGGAUAACUUCGGGAAACCGGAGCUAAUACCGGAUAAUAUAUUGAACCGCAUGGUUCAAUAGUGAAAGACGGUUUUGCUGUCACUUAUAGAUGGAUCCGCGCUGCAUUAGCUAGUUGGUAAGGUAACGGCUUACCAAGGCAACGAUGCGUAGCCGACCUGAGAGGGUGAUCGGCCACACUGGAACUGAGACACGGUCCAGACUCCUACGGGAGGCAGCAGCA